rnacentral:rRNA from 2 species
CUCCUACGGGAGGCAGCAGUGGGGAAUUUUGGACAAUGGGCGCAAGCCUGAUCCAGCAAUGCCGCGUGAGUGAAGAAGGCCUUCGGGUUGUAAAGCUCUUUUGUCAGGGAAGAAACGGUAGAGGCUAAUAUCCUUUGCUAAUGACGGUACCUGAAGAAUAAGCACCGGCUAACUACGUGCCAGCAGCCGCGGUAAUACGCAGGGUGCAAGCGUUAAUCGGAAUUACUGGGCGUAAAGCGUGCGCAGGCGGUUUUGUAAGUCUGACGUGAAAGCCCCGGGCUCAACCUGGGAAUUGCGUUGGAGACUGCAAGGCUUGAAUCUGGCAGAGGGGGGUAGAAUUCCACGUGUAGCAGUGAAAUGCGUAGAGAUGUGGAGGAACACCGAUGGCGAAGGCAGCCCCCUGGGUCAAGAUUGACGCUCAUGCACGAAAGCGUGGGGAGCAAACAGGAUUAGAUACCCUGGUAGUCCACGCCCUAAACGAUGUCUACUAGUUGUCGGGUUUUAAUUAACUUGGUAACGCAGCUAACGCGUGAAGUAGACCGCCUGGGGAGUACGGUCGCAAGAUUAAAACUCAAAGGAAUUGACGGGGACCCGCACAAGCGGUGGAUGAUGUGGAUUAAUUCGAUGCAACGCGAAAAACCUUACCUACCCUUGACAUGUCAGGAACCUCCGAGAGAUUGGAGGGUGCCCGAAAGGGAACCUGAACACAGGUGCUGCAUGGCUGUCGUCAGCUCGUGUCGCGAGAUGUUGGGUUAAGUCCCGCAACGAGCGCAACCCUUGUCAUUAGUUGCUACGCAAGAGCACUCUAAUGAGACUGCCGGUGACAAACCGGAGGAAGGUGGGGAUGACGUCAAGUCCUCAUGGCCCUUAUGGGUAGGGCUUCACACGUCAUACAAUGGUACAUACAGAGGGCCGCCAACCCGCGAGGGGGAGCUAAUCCCAGAAAGUGUAUCGUAGUCCGGAUCGUAGUCUGCAACUCGACUACGUGAAGUUGGAAUCGCUAGUAAUCGCGGAUCAGCAUGCCGCGGUGAAUACGUUCCCGGGUCUUGCACACACCGCCCGU